rnacentral:ncRNA from 3 species
UACUCAUCAAGAGUUGGUGGAGGGACUGGCCCGAUGAAACCGCGGCAACCAUUUAGUAGUUUUACUAAAAACGGUGCCAAUUCCGGCGGAUAAACCGCAAGAUGGGAG